GUUUGGAAAGAAAAAGGACACGGCGAUAUGCUGAAUUGUUGUAACGUUUCCACGUAUUACCGACGUUCCGAUUACCCUGUACUGUACUGAGAGCCCCGUUCUUACCAGUGCGUACUCGACGGGCGGCCGGUACCGCGGCAACAGCACUGGCACGCCCAGCUGCGCCGACGGCUCGUUGGCGCGGCGCUGCAGCGCGGCAUCAUGGGGCCGCGGCCGCCUCUGCUACUGUGGCUGGACUGCCGUGUCAGGCCGGUCGCUGAUCCAGCACACCAUCCACUCCAGCAGCGCCUCCUCCUGGAGCUGGCGGACGCAACGGAUGUGCUCGGCACGCUCGGCCUGCUGAACGUAUAUACUCUGGCUGAACACGGUCGAGAUGGCCUCCAUCUGGGAUGAGCAGCGGCGGCACAAGGUCUGUCCUCAGGAUCGCGUGUCCGCUGCUGUGCGUGCACACCGGUACCUUCUGUCACCCUGUCCGUGUACCGCUGCUCCAGGGGUACAGCUGGCCGGGAGUGGUGCCACCUGCACCCCUGCUGGCUUAUCCUCUGCUAGCUUAUUCGGGGCUCAACUACCGCAUGUGGAGCGGUCGCGGCCCAUCGAGGGUGGCGGCAGAGGCAGCCCCCCUGGAAGCCGCGGUACCGGCAGAGACGGCUAGGGCAGCGGGACUGCUGCUGUAUGUGACCCCGGCCGAAUUACCGUCCGGCCUGCCGCCCUCAACGUCACGGCACCACCUAAUAUGGCCAUGGGACUUGGAGCCGCGGCCAUGGUGAAGGAGUACCACUACAAGAGGCGACGGGGUUCGGGGUGCGUGCGUGCG